rnacentral:rRNA from 1 species
CGCGUAGGCGGCUUGACAAGUCGAGUGUGAAAUCCCCGGGCUUAACCUGGGAGCUGCAUUCGAAACUGUCUUGCUAGAGUAUGGGAGAGGGAAGUGGAAUUUCAGGUGUAGCGGUGAAAUGCGUAGAUAUCUGAAGGAACAUCAGUGGCGAAAGCGACUUCCUGGACCAAUACUGACGCUCAGGUGCGAAAGCGUGGGGAGCAAACAGGAUUAGAUACCCUGGUAGUCCACGCCAUAAACGAUGAGAACUGGAUGUUGGGAGGAUUAGCCUCUCGGUGUCGUAGCUAACGCGUUAAGUUCUCCGCCUGGGGAGUACGGCCGCAAGGUUGAA